GAUGAACGCUGGCGGCGUGCCUAAUACAUGCAAGUCGAGCGAACAGACGAGGAGCUUGCUCCUCUGACGUUAGCGGCGGACGGGUGAGUAACACGUGGAUAACCUACCUAUAAGACUGGGAUAACUUCGGGAAACCGGAGCUAAUACCGGAUAAUAUAUUGAACCGCAUGGUUCAAUAGUGAAAGACGGUUUUGCUGUCACUUAUAGAUGGAUCCGCGCCGCAUUAGCUAGUUGGUAAGGUAACGGCUUACCAAGGCAACGAUGCGUAGCCGACCUGAGAGGGUGAUCGGCCACACUGGAACUGAGACACGGUCCAGACUCCUACGGGAGGCAGCAGUAGGGAAUCUUCCGCAAUGGGCGAAAGCUUGACGGAGCAACGCGGCGUGAGUGAUGAAGGUCUUCGGAUCGUAAAACUCUGUUAUUGGGGAAGAACAAAUGUGUAAGUAAAUAUGCACGUCUUGACGGUACCUAAUCAGAAAGCCACGGCUAACUACGUG
rnacentral:rRNA from 1 species